rnacentral:rRNA from 1 species
AGAGUUUGAUCCUGGCUCAGAACGAACGCUGGCGGCAUGCCUAACACAUGCAAGUCGAACGAGACCUUCGGGUCUAGUGGCGCACGGGUGCGUAACACGUGGGAAUCUGCCCUUGGGUUCGGAAUAACAGUUGGAAACGACUGCUAAUACCGGAUGAUGACGUAAGUCCAAAGAUUUAUCGCCCAAGGAUGAGCCCGCGUCGGAUUAGCUAGUUGGUGGGGUAAAGGCCUACCAAGGCGACGAUCCGUAGCUGGUCUGAGAGGAUGAUCAGCCACACUGGGACUGAGACACGGCCCAGACUCCUACGGGAGGCAGCAGUGGGGAAUAUUGGACAAUGGGCGAAAGCCUGAUCCAGCAAUGCCGCGUGAGUGAUGAAGGCCUUAGGGUUGUAAAGCUCUUUUACCCGGGAUGAUAAUGACAGUACCGGGAGAAUAAGCCCCGGCUAACUCCGUGCCAGCAGCCGCGGUAAUACGGAGGGGGCUAGCGUUGUUCGGAAUUACUGGGCGUAAAGCGUACGUAGGCGGCUUUGUAAGUAAGAGGUGAAAGCCUGGAGCUCAACUCCAGAACUGCCUUUUAGACUGCAUCGCUUGAAUCCAGGAGAGGUGAGUGGAAUUCCGAGUGUAGAGGUGAAAUUCGUAGAUAUUCGGAAGAACACCAGUGGCGAAGGCGGCUCACUGGACUGGUAUUGACGCUGAGGUACGAAAGCGUGGGGAGCAAACAGGAUUAGAUACCCUAGUAGUCC